rnacentral:rRNA from 1 species
GACGAACGCUGGCGGCGUGCUUAACACAUGCAAGUCGAGCGGUAAGGCCCUUUCGGGGUACACGAGCGGCGAACGGUGAGUAACACGUGGGUGACCUGCCCUCAGCUCUGGGAUAAGCCUGGGGAAACCGGGUCUAAUACUGGAUAUGACUCCAUGACGCAUGUUGUGGGGUGGAAAGCCUUGUGCGGCUGAGGAUGGGCCCGCGGCCUAUCAGCUUGUUGGUGGGGUGANGGCCUACCAAGGCGACGACGGGUAGCCGGCCUGAGAGGGCGACCGGCCACACUGGGACUGAGACACGGCCCAGACUCCUACGGGAGGCAGCAGUGGGGAAUCUUGCGCAAUGGGCGAAAGCCUGACGCAGCGACGCCGCGUGAGGG